rnacentral:rRNA from 1 species
CGCCUGGGGAGUACGGCCGCAAGGUUAAAACUCAAAUGAAUUGACGGGGGCCCGCACAAGCGGUGGAGCAUGUGGUUUAAUUCGACGCAACGCGAAGAACCUUACCUGGCCUUGACAUGCAGAGAACUUUCCAGAGAUGGAUUGGUGCCUUCGGGAACUCUGACACAGGUGCUGCAUGGCCGUCGUCAGCUCGUGUCGUGAGAUGUUGGGUUAAGUCCCGUAACGAGCGCAACCCCUAUCCCUAGUUGCUAGCAGUUCGGCUGAGAACUCUAGGGAGACUGCCGGUGACAAACCGGAGGAAGGUGGGGAUGACGUCAGGUCAUCAUGGCCCUUACGGCCAGGGCUACACACGUGCUACAAUGGUGCGCACAGAGGGCUGCAAAUCCGCGAGGGGGAGCCAAUCUCACAAAACGCAUCGUAGUCCGGAUCGCAGUCUGCAACUCGACUGCGUGAAGUCGGAAUCGCUAGUAAUCGUGAAUCAGAAUGUCACGGUGAAUACGUUCCCGGGCCUUGUACACACCGCCCGUCACACCAUGGGAGUGGAUUGCACCAGAAGUGGUUAGUCUAACCUUCGGGAGGACGAUCACCACGGUGUGGUUCAUGACUGGGGUGAAGUCGUAACAAGGUAACCGUA